AUUGAACGCUGGCGGCAUGCCUUACACAUGCCAGUCGAACGGCAGCACGGGUGCUUGCACCUGGUGGCGAGUGGCGAACGGGUGAGUAAUACAUCGGAACAUGUCCUGUAGUGGGGGAUAGCCCGGCGAAAGCCGGAUUAAUACCGCAUACGAUCUACGGAUGAAAGCGGGGGACCUUCGGGCCUCGCGCUAUAGGGUUGGCCGAUGGCUGAUUAGCUAGUUGGUGGGGUAAAGGCCUACCAAGGCGACGAUCAGUAGCUGGUCUGAGAGGACGACCAGCCACACUGGGACUGAGACACGGCCCAGACUCCUACGGGAGGCAGCAGUGGGGAAUUUUGGACAAUGGGCGAAAGCCUGAUCCAGCAAUGCCGCGUGUGUGAAGAAGGCCUUCGGGUUGUAAAGCACUUUUGUCCGGAAAGAAAUCCUUGGCCCUAAUACGGUCGGGGGAGGACGGUACCGGAAGAAUAAGCACCGGCUAACUACGU
rnacentral:rRNA from 1 species